rnacentral:rRNA from 1 species
CCUACGGGUGGCAGCAGUGAGGAAUAUUGGUCAAUGGGCGCGAGCCUGAACCAGCCAAGUAGCGUGAAGGAUGACUGCCCUACGGGUUGUAAACUUCUUUUAUAAGGGAAUAAAGUGAGGCACGUGUGCCUGUUUGUAUGUACUUUAUGAAUAAGGAUCGGCUAACUCCGUGCCAGCAGCCGCGGUAAUACGGAGGAUUCGAGCGUUAUCCGGAUUUAUUGGGGUUAAAGGGAGCGUAGAUGGGUUGUUAAGUCAGUUGUGAAAGUUUGCGGCUCAACCGUAUAAUGGCAAUUGAUACUGGAAGUCUUGAGUACAGUAGAGGUAGGCGGAAUGCGUGGUGUAGCGGUGAAAUGCUUAGAUAUCACGAAGAACUCCGAUUGCGAAGGCAGCUUACUAGACUGCAACUGACAUUGAUGCGCGAAAGUGUGGGUAUCAAACAGGAUUAGAUACCCGAGUAGUC